GAGAAGUGUGCCUUUGUGUAUGGCACUGAUCUCAUAAGCAGUUUUUGUCUUUGAUGAGUUUCAGCAUUAUCUGCUGGGAGCAGAGCUUGUAGGGAUGCUUUUACUGUGCUUCUUUUGUGUGUCCUCUAUUAGUACCAAUGGUGUGAGGGCUCCUUCUUCUACCAGCACAUGCAGAAUGUGAAGUAAAUUGGUUUCUGAAGGAAGCUGAACGUGCUGAGGAUCCUCCAUAGGGAAUCUGAGGAGAUUGAGGAGCUAAUUGUCCACCUCUGCUCUGCUCUAAUGAGAGCCCACCUAAAGUGCUGAGAAUCCCAACGUAAGAAAGAUGUUGGAUUGGGUUCAGAGAAGACCAUGAGGAUGCUCAGGGGGAUGGAAUACCUCCCUAUGAGAACAGCUGGAGAAGGGAAGGCUCCAGGAUGACCUCUUUAUUGCCUUCCUAUACCUGGAGGCCUACGGGAUUCUUAGUGAUGUACUGACACAGGUUGCCCGAAGAGGUGGUGAAUGUCCCUGCAGACACCCAAGGUCAGGCUGGAUGGGGCUCUGAGCACUUAAUGAAGCUGUGGGUGUCCCUGUUUGGUGAAGGGAGUUGGUCUAGAUGACCUUAAAAGGUCCCUUCCAUCUCAAACAAUCCUUUGUCAGAGGUUGCAGUGAUGGUAACAGCUUUAAACUAAAAGGGGAGAUUUAGAUGAGACAUUAGGAAGAAAUUCCUCACUAAUGAGGGUAGUUUUUGAACAGAUGCUCUUUGUCCUUUAUUUUUCUAAUAGACCAGUAAUGCACAUGGAGUUCUCUUCCCUCUGUUCAUUGGAAUUCAUCCAUAAAGCACAUUCUUCUGGAAGCAAGCUUGCACUCUUUAAAUGCCAAUCUAAGCUGUUCUGUAACAUAGAGCCUAUAUAGGGUGAUUGCUUCCCAGUCACCUCUGCUUCAGCUGUGAAUGCUGGCUGUUCUACCCCUUUCCUGGCAGCCUGCUGCUGCAGAUAACAGCAGAUCAUAGUUUGGCUUUGCUUGUGCUGAGACAGCUUGGGGAUUUCAGUCUGAGUGGGGCAGCAAAAACUGCUGUUCCUGAGAUGCGACAGCACCUGAAGUGGAUGAGGUGAAUGCAAUACAUAGCACGUACUGCUUGCAGUGAAGGGGUGAGGCCUUGGAAAUAUUAGGUUUUGGUGGAUAGCACUGAGCACUAUGCAGAUCUGAGGCCCUGUGCAGAGAUGCAGGAGCUUACUGUCUUUGCUGAUAGAGCUUAUAUCUCCAGGGAUACGAGCUUCGAGGCUGAGCUCUCCUCUCACUUUGUUCUUACAAGAUAGUCUCAGAACCAGGAGGGUGCUGUGGUGAGAGCAGGCAGCAGCACUGAAGCUGCAGUGAGAACUUCCUGAGAGCUGGGCUGACAUGCAGGAACCUCUGCUUGAGGGGAUGUGCUUCACUCUGAAGUAUCUAGGCAUGACACUGGUAGAGAAACCCAAAGGGGAAGACAUGGCAGCUGCUGCCAUCCGCCGGAUUGUCGCCACGGCACGAGUGGGAGCUCGCAAGUUCCAGAAGGUGAUUCUGACAGUGUCUCCAAGGGGCAUCUCACUGCAGGAUGCUGACACCAAAGAGAUGGUUGAGAACAUCUCCAUCUACAGGAUCUCCUACUGCACAACAGACAAGCUGCAGAACAAAGUCUUUGCUUACGUGGCGCAGAGCCAGGAGAGUGGGGCGCUGGAGUGCCAUGCCUUCCUGUCACCCAAGAAGAAGAUUGCCCAGGCUGUGACUCUGACAGUGGCCCAGGCCUUCCAGAUGGCACUGGAUCUCUGGGAAGCAGCAAACGCAGGCUCUAGGCAGGAACAGCCCCUUCACCCUCCAUGCGUCUUGGAGCGCAGUGAGCCCAGCAGAGCAAGUGAGCCAGCUCCCCCGGGGAGCCCUCCCUUCAGACACCAGUUUGGGGAGCCUCUGAAUGCUUGCUUCAUGACUUCGUGCUUCCAGCAUUGGCCCAGCCUGGCAGUGGUUGGGGCCGUCAUUGCUUGCAGCGUGCUCCAGGUGGUUCUCUGCCUGGCCAUCCAGCUGGGACAUGCUCACCCUGCUCCAGUCUCUAGGCAAAGGUGUGCUGUGUGCAGCAGCUAUCUCAGCUUGGUGGCUCAUCCCCAGUUCACGCCCUGUGUUUGGUGCUCUGCUGGCUUGGGGAAUGUGAGGAGAACCUUGGUCUGUCUCUUCCUUUGUGUGGCUGUGUCUGAGCUCCAAGGAUUUCAUCAGCCCAGUACUGCAGGUGCCAUUUUUCCCCUUCCUGCUUGUAGACGAGUCUUGUCCUUGUCAUGCCUGGUGGGUGACUGUCUUGUGAAGGUGCUGGGGACAGCCCUGCUGCCCCAGAAGAGGCUCUGGGCAUCCCAGACUGGAUCGUGGUAGAGACCUACUUUUCUGUUUGUUUGCUUGCUUGCAAGGAGGAGGAAGAGGAGGAGGAAGAUGAAAACCUCGAUGAAACUUUAUCUGGGUGCUUGCUUGGAGAUGAUGGGUGCUCUGUUCUCUUCCAAAGCUGCAUGGAGGAGCUGGGGAGGGGAGCCCAUGG